rnacentral:rRNA from 1 species
GCUAGGACGAACGCUGGCGGCGUGCUUCAUACAUGCAAGUCGAACGAGAAGCUCACUUCGGUGAGUGGAAAGUGGCGGACGGGUGAGUAAUGUGUAGAGAAUCUGCCCUAGAGUGGGGGAUAGCAGUUGGAAACGACUAUUAAUACCCCAUAUGCGCGUAGCUGAGAUGCUAUUCGUGAAAACUCCGGUGCUCUAGGAUGAGUCUGCAUCUGAUUAGCUAGUUGGCGGUGUAGUGGACCACCAAGGCGACGAUCAGUAGCUGGUUUGAGAGGAUGAUCAGCCACAAUGGGACUGAGACACGGCCCAUACUCCUACGGGAGGCAGCAGUAGGGAAUUUUGCGCAAUGGGGGAAACCCUGACGCAAGCAACGCCGCGUGAAUGAAGAAGCCCUUCGGGGUGUAAAGUUCUGUCAGUGGGGACGAAACUUGACGGUACCCACAGAGGAAGCAUCGGCUAACUCCGUGCCAGCAGCAGC